rnacentral:lncRNA from 1 species
AGAAAAGAUAUAAAAAACACCAAACAAGUGAAGUCGUGGCAAAGGAUAUGCUCAGUGCAUUUUAAAUCUGAAUGUUUUAAUUACCAUUUAGCAGUAGGCAAUGUAAAGCUUUCUUUAAACCCACACUCACGUCCAACAAUAAAUCUACCGGGAUUAGGAGGUGAAAUCAAGAAUGCUACAACGUACGAAGACCAUAUAUUUGUAUAGGUAAAGGAGCCGUGGUGGUGCGUUGACCUGCGGGAGCGAAGGACCUCGAGGGGCCGUAAUGCUGGGAGAGGAAAGCGGGUUGCGACACCAGUCAGCCCCGGGCCAACACUAACAAUACUUCUUGAACGACCGCAUCACAAUCCAGUUCUGCGCUCCACCCACUACGACUCACUAGUGAUUUAAAAAAUAUAUAUAUAUACUAAAUUAAGUCACUGUCAACUCAGCACCAUUACUUUCAACCUCUUCACCUGCUUUCUUUUUUACUCAUUCCAAGCACUGCUACAACUUUUUUGAGAAAGUAAAAAGCUUGAUAAUUGGUCUUAGCAGCGUGAGUAUUACUCAACAAAAUUCUUCACACAUUCUACUUCAAAUUACUUUGAAUACAUUAAUAUUACAUGCUGAUAGUUUUGUCAAAUUGUCAAGUUUUUCUUUCUGAUAUCUUUUACAAUAUAUCCACAAAACGUUAUCUAUACAGUAUCUCAAAUAAUCACUUUGCGAAAAAUAGUGUAACACGUAAUAUAUAACAGAGAAUUUGUAUAACACGACAUGUAAACGAUCUACCUCACAGGUUCACCAAAUAUUAAAUAACAGAUUAAAAAAAUGGGCAUGGAGUUCUUAGCCUGUGGUCCAUGGACCAAAUUCCAGAUGGUCCACGGAAAGGCAACAAUAAUUUAAAAUAUGCUUAGCUCGGGUAGCAUCGUGUUCAGGGUUGUAUCCGCCUUCUUGUUUACCAGCAAGUCAGGUCAGUGAAUACCUCUCAUCUCCUCCCUCAUCCUGUUGUACACGCCACUGUAAUAUUUGAACCUUGGCAUGUUGUUAUCAUUAACUAAGUGACAGUUAAAUCUGAAGGACAACGUCACAUGAUGGCUGUUGCCGACAGGGGCAACCAUACCCUCCGCGUUAGUUAUGCUGAGGUCCAGUGGUUUAGGAGUUUGUUCCCUCAAUGAAAGGACAUUAUAUGAUGCUAGUAAAUAUACAAAUGUUUCUAGAGAAAUGAAAAGAUUACAGUUGGAUAUUCUGGGAUUAAGUGAAGUAAGAUGGACAGGUUCAAAUAGCAUUAGUAGUGAAGAGUCUUGCUUCAUAUAUUCAAGGGGUGAAAAGCAUGAGAGAGGUGUUGGUAUUCUUGUAAACCAGAAGUUGAGCAAUAGUGGAAAUGGAUAGUGGAUAGUGUCAGAUGGAGCUUUGUUAGUCAAGUUUAAUGCUAAAUCCAUGGACUUGGUAAUAAUAUGGGUAUAUGCACCAACAAAAUUAAAGAUGGUGAGGAGUAAUAUUUAAAGAAAGCAAAACACAACGUAAAGAUUACUGAAUGUCUCAUUACUUUAUUAUGGGUGAUUUUAACGCAAAAGUUGGGAAAGGGAAAGUAGCACCAGAAGUAGGAUCAUAUGGGUUGGGUAAUAGAAAUGAGAGAGGAGAAAUAUUAAUUGAUAUUUUAAAAGAAAACUAGUUGAUUAUUGUAAAUCAUGGCUUGAGCAACGCUCAAGACAUCACUAUACAUGGGUCUCACAGCAAGACAAUGUAAACAAAAUAGUCAGGAAACAAUUAAAAUGUAUUUUAAUUCAGGAAAGAUUCAGAAAUUCAAUAACCGAAACCAAGACCUAUCCUGGAGCAGAUUGUGGGUCAUACCACGUCCCAUUAAUGAGUUUGGUGAGGCUAAGACUUCAAAAUUAAAAAAAAAAAAAACUAA